CGUCUGCAUUAGGCAGCCGCUGUCCCGCCUUGGCGGGAUAGAGGAAAGUCCGGACACAGGCCCGAGCAAUCGGGCAGCAGGGUAGCGGGUAACGCCCGUCCGCCGCGAGGCGAGAGAUGCGAACAGUGACGGUUUUUCGCGAAAGUGAAAAACCGCCCUCCGAAGCUUUAUGCGUAGGAGGGCGAGCUCGGGCAAUAAGCAUGAGGUCCUUCUUCGCGUAAAGCUUCGAAGGACACCUCUCGCCGAAGGCUCGAGGUGCAACGGCAAAAUUCUUACUUCUGUGCAAGGCCGUGUCCAGCACUUUCUUAGAAUUCUAGAAAGUGCUGGAAGAGCCGCUUGAGGUGAAUGGCGACAUUCAUCCCAGAUACAUGGUUGCCCACGACAGAAUCCGGCUCAUCGAUGCAGUGCACA
rnacentral:RNase_P_RNA from 3 species